rnacentral:rRNA from 1 species
GAUCCUGGCUCAGGACGAACGCUGGCGGCGUGCCUAACACAUGCAAGUCGAACGGAGAUGUUUAUUUCGGUAGACAUCUUAGUGGCGCACGGGUGAGUAACGCGUGAAUAACCUGACCCGAAGAGGGGGGAUAACACCUGGAAACAAGUGCUAAUACCGCAUAAGACCACGGACCGGCAUCGGUCAGAGGUCAAAGGAGGAAUCCGCUUUGGGAGGGGUUCGCGUCCCAUUAGGUAGUUGGUGAGGUAACGGCCCACCAAGCCGACG